rnacentral:lncRNA from 1 species
CAAGCGUAGACGCGGACAAGAGCGGCACCAUUAAGGCAUACACUAGUGGGAGCUUCUCGGUGCCUGCGUGAAGACGCCCUCUUGCCUCCGGGAAAAGUAUCGUCUGCAUCUUCUUGCUCCAGGAGCGGGGGUGGGGAGCGCAGCGCGGAGGAGGCAGCGCUGAGAUGACUCAACAGUGCGGCAUUUGGGGGCGCCGCGGAGGCUGGGACUGCGUAAGCGGCGAUAGGGUAGGACCCACAGCCUCCUCGCAGGCAUUCUUGGAGCUCGGUUCCGCGGUCGGUCCGGAUCUCCCGGGAAGUCUCGCCGGAGUCAGGCAGGCCUUAGGAAGAAGCUGCCUGAUGUGCAAGGUUUCAUAGGCCGUCAGAGGGGGCAUCCUGGAGGAGCCCUGGCAUCAGGAAAGUGAGCCCCCCAUGGCAGCCCGCAGGAAUGAACCAGUGCUCACCAGGCUGGAGUGCAGUGGUGUGAUCACAGCUUUCUGCAGCACCUACCCCCAGGCCCAAGCAAUCCUCCUAGCUCAGCCUCCCAAGUAGCUGGGAUUACAGGUGUGCAGCACCACGCCCAGCUAAUUUUUAUUUUUUAUUUUUGUAGGAAGAGAUCUCCCUGUUGUCCAGGCUGGUCAUGAACUCCCAGGGCUCAAGCAGUUCUCCAGUCUCAGCCUCCUGAAGUGCUGGGAUUAUAGGCAUGAGCCACCACGCCAGGCCCCUAACUCAUUUUAAAUGGCUGUGUAAUGUGGAUGAUGACAGCACCUACCUCAAGGGGCUGCUGUGAGGACUAAAUGGGGCAGAAAAAUUCUGCCUGACCUUUCCCAUCUUCCUGAUGAUGUUAACAAACGACAGCCACUGAGGGCACAGGAGGGGGCUCUACACAGGCCAAGAGCUACAGGCUACAGUCUGAGCACAGAAAACCCUCCAGCUCCAGCAUCCAGGGCCACAGCUGGACACAAGUACAGAACCUGGCAGCCCUGCAGCCCAGACAAUGCCCAGGGUGUGAUUUAGGGUGCAGAGCUGCAACUCAGAUCCUGUGCCAUGGCAGUAUCACAGGAAGGACUUGACGGAGAGGUGAAGGCUCCAGACGCCAGGAUAUUUAUUCCCUGUGCCAAUACAGCAUUCACACCUGACC